CCUUCGCUGCCCGGCCCGUUAGGACAUCAUUCCCCGGGGCCUUACAGACAUUCUCGGGAGCUGCCUCUGGCUUGGGUCGUGGCCCUUACUACGCGGCGCCCACCUGAACCUUCGGGUCCAGGGCGAAUAUACUGUCCGACGGCCGGUGCGGCACAUUC
rnacentral:other from 1 species